AGGUGGCUAUAGCAUUGGGGAUCCACCUCUUCCCAUCCCGAACAGAGCAGUUAAGCCCAAUCACGCCGAUGGUACUACGCAAGUGGGAGAGUAGGUAGCCGCCACUUU
rnacentral:rRNA from 1 species